GGUUCAUGGUUGUCACUGUUUAGUGUUUAAUGUUUAUAUUUUAUAGAUUCCUAAGAUCUUCAAAAUAAAAAACAUUGUUUCAAAGGGCUGUAAUCUGUAUGGACUAAAGUCCUUUGCCUUUCACAUUAGGGAUAAAUUAAUAUCAUCAAUCAUCAUCAUCAUUGUUUCAAAUUUUAUAGUUGAAUGUUUUAAAAAUAAUCAUGCUAAUAUUUAUUUUAGAAUGUAAUUUCAAAUGAAAAUAAAAUUGGGACAAGCAAUAGUUUAAGAAGUGUGACCCAAUUGGAGUAAAUGGAAUGGUAGAUUAACAUAAAAGGCCUAACUCUUAUUGUUGUUUAAUUUUAAAUUGUCUAACUAAUCACUUCUUUCAUUUUGUUUGAUUUUAGGGAAUGGUCACCUAAAGACAGCCUUCCACUUACUGUUCAAAAUUAAAUAAUUUAAUCAUAUUGGUACUGUGUAUACCUAUGAAAGUCUAUAUUUAAAAAAAAGGGAGGAUAAUCUAAAUUUACAUUUUCUACCAGUCCCCAAAUCAGGGACGUAGAGUAGGCGAGAUGAACUGGCAUGAAAGUCUUUUCCACUUUUUUAAAUUGCAAAUAUGGUACAUCGUAGUCCACCAAGUACAAGAAAAUUGUAAGAAAGUACAAGUACAGUUUGCAAGAAAAGGGGCAACCCGAACCUUCGGUUUCCACCCCAAGCAAUGUUUACCCGUUACUGUGAAAUGUCUGCAAACUUUUACAAUAAAUAUUCUCCUUUACAAGUUUGAUUGUAGGAGAAGUAAACUAUGUAAAAUCAAAAUUUUCUUGCAAAGUUUUCUUUCUUGUCUAAAGUAAAAUUAUGAUAACUAAUUAUUAUGUAAUUUUAUUACAUUGAAUUAAAUCUUGCUGAUUCUGCAACAGCAAAAUUAAUUUUAUUCAAUCAAUAUAAUAAUUUUAUUACAUUGAAUUAAAUCUUGCUGAUUCUGCAACAGCAAAAUUAUAUCUUUCUUGAAUUACUUCAAAAUUAGUAAUGUCUUCCAUUCUGUUGAUAACACACUUUGUGUGCAUAAGAGUAGCCUGGAGUAUCAAGCUUAUCUCUAUUGUCAGUUUCAUAAUAAACCAAUAAGAGUAGCACUCUCGAUCAUUAUAAACCUACACAGAGGCAUAAGACAAAGUAACAAUAGAUUGAAUCGUUAUCGCCAAAGCAUAAAAUCAUAGAUUAGGGAUAUAUCUAAUAUGUUGAGACUUACAUACCAAUACCACUUAUCAUUUUUCGAUGGCAAAAAUAUAUAAACAGUAGGAAAAAACUCAAUAUCGUUUUUAAGACGUAUCUAUAGACUUGUUACACAGGUAUACGAGGGCGGCACUGAAAAUUUCGGGAAUCAAGGAAGUGACACAACAUUACUAUUUAAAAGUGUAUUUAUUGCUUUUCGAAGUAUUCUCCGCGAAAUUUGACACAUUUUUCCAUACGAUGGAACCAAUAAUAGAAGCAACCAUUCCAUUCGGAAGUUGGGGUCUCCAAAAUGGCCGUUUUGUAGGCGUCCACAGCUUCUUCAGGUGAUGAAAAUCUCUGACCACGCAAUUUAUUCUUUAUUUUAGGGAAAGUAUAGAAAUCAUUAGGGCUUAGGUCGGGGCUGUACGGCGGAUGGUCUAAUAAUUCUGUUUUCUUGCUCUAAAAACUCUUUUGUUCUGUGCGCGGUGUGAGAACUCGCAUUGUCGUGAUGGAGGAUGAUGCAGAUGAGGUUGCAGUUCUCUUUACGGAGUUCAGAAACGACCUGUGGCAAACAAAUGCUAGCAUACCAUUCUGCAUUAACCGUUCUUUGUCCCUCAAGAAGAAUAGUCGCAACAUGGCCGGUUUUGGAGACGAACGUGGCCACCAUUUUUUUUGCAACACUCCGUGAACGAACAAUUUUCGUUGGCUUUAACUCAUUUUCGAAUACCCAAACUCGUUACUGGUUUUUUGUUUCGGGUUCGUACGCGUAUAUCCAGAUUCGUCACCUGAUACGAUGUUGUAUACAGCAUUUGAGGAUCCUGAGUGGAAUCUUUCGAGAGUUCUGACGCACCAAGUAACGCGAGCCGCUUUUUGCUCUUCACAGAGCGAAUGCGGUGUCCAUCCGGAAAACAACUUUUUUACACCUAAUUGUUCAUGCAAGAUUAUUUGUAUUCGACUCAUACCAAUGUCUAAAGUUGCCUGAAUUUCGAGGUAUGUCACACGUCGAUCUUCCUCAAUCAGCUUACGCACAGCAUCAACGUUUUCUUGGGUGACUGCAGUUUUUGGACGACCUUGACGGGGAUCAUCAUUGAGCUUGACACGUCCACGUUGAAAUUCAGCAAACCAGCUAUAAACUGUGGUUUUGGAUGGGGCUUCAUCACCAAAUGCAGAAAUCAUCCGGUCACUGAUUUGUGAUAAACCACUUCGAAAGUCAUAAUAAAUCAUCGCUCUUGAAUUUUCUCGAGUCAAUUUCAUUUUCUCAACGACUAAACAAGUUUGACAAAACUUUGUGACAAGUCCGAGAAUCUUU